rnacentral:misc_RNA from 1 species
GCACUCUCACAUAUAACCUCUGGGUUAAAAUGUGGAAUUGGGAUGCGCCGGUUAUUAUAACGGCCCUCCUAAAAUUCAGUUCUUGGCUGCUUCCUACUACAGCAGUUUGGCCUAAUAUUUUUGAGUCUUCGAUUCAAAUCUUUGGCUAACAUUUGCUUCAGAAUGUCAGUCUUGAUAUACAGAAAUCUUAUUCAAA